AACGAACGCUGGCGGCAUGCCUAACACAUGCAAGUCGAACGAGACCUUCGGGUCUAGUGGCGCACGGGUGCGUAACGCGUGGGAACCUGCCCUUAGGCUCGGAAUAACUCCCCGAAAGGGGUGCUAAUACCGGAUAAUGUCUUCGGACCAAAGAUUUAUCGCCUUUGGAUGGGCCCGCGUUGGAUUAGCUAGUUGGUAGGGUAAAAGCCUACCAAGGCGACGAUCCAUAGCUGGUCUGAGAGGAUGAUCAGCCACACUGGGACUGAGACACGGCCCAGACUCCUACGGGAGGCAGCAGUGGGGAAUAUUGGGCAAUGGGCGAAAGCCUGAUCCAGCAAUGCCGCGUGAGUGAUGAAGGCCUUAGGGUUGUAAAGCUCUUUUACCCGGGAUGAUAAUGACAGUACCGGGAGAAUAAGCUCCGGCUAACUCCGUG
rnacentral:rRNA from 1 species